UUGAAAAUGAAAGUCGAGAUUCCACGGAGGGAUCUUUCGCAAUCGGCCGCUCCGCUUGCUUAGAAAGGCAUUGGCGGAGGCCCCUUUAAGUGGACAAACGUCUCACUUCGAUGAAAAAUCAACGCGACUGCGACCGAAAAACUCGUUUCGUUUCUUUCCGAGGACAAAGACGAGAACGAGCAAAGGUACGCGCGAUACCUACCCAAGAGAGAGAGAGAGAGAGAGGAAAAGAGUAGUCCAGAGGACUUCGCACGCACACACGUUACGCACGAUCCAGCGGAACCACUUUCUCCGAGUUCGAGCAACCGUCCUUGGCAAACUAAACUGGAUUCGUUUUAGCUCACAUUUCUCCGGAUUUAUCCUUCCCGAUUGGAAAUCGGUCUCUUCGCAUAUGCAUCCAACACCAUUACCAUCAGUACCAUCUCGGGAACAACAUCCGUGGUUGCAUAUCCAGAGCUUCAGGAUUAUCAAGUGGGAGCUAGCAAGAGCAAGAGGCCUUCCUUCUAUCGUCGGCACCGAUGCUUUCGCCAAACGCCAUGUAGGACGUUUGUGAAUUAUGCCAUCGUGCUGAAACGCGUAAGUACACACACACACACAUCGACAGGAAUGUCCUCCUUGAAGACACAUUCACAAUCUCGGUCAUAGUUCGUGCAAGAAGGGUGAUUAUGCUCAGCGACACUGAACCUCUCUCUCUCUCUCUCUCUUUUCUCGAUCUUCCUCAUCCUCCUCCUUCUUCUCCUCCUGCUGCUCUAUUGGAACCUUCGCCAAAGUUCCGCUUAAA